AACGAACGCUGGCGGCAUGCCUAACACAUGCAAGUCGAACGCUCGUGGCAACACGGGAGUGGCGAACGGGUGAAUAACGCGUGGGAACCUGCCCCGAAGUUCGGAAUAACCGCGGGAAACUGCGGCUAAUACCGGAUGUGGCCUGAGGGCCAAAGGCGCAAGCCGCUUCGGGAGGGGCCCGCGUCCGAUUAGCUAGUUGGCGGGGUAACGGCCCACCAAGGCGACGAUCGGUAGCUGGUCUGAGAGGAUGAUCAGCCACACUGGAACUGAGACACGGUCCAGACUCCUACGGGAGGCAGCAGUGGGGAAUAUUGGACAAUGGGGGAAACCCUGAUCCAGCAAUGCCGCGUGGGUGAUGAAGGCCUUCGGGUUGUAAAGCCCUUUCGGCGGGGACGAUGAUGACGGUACCCGCAGAAGAAGCCCCGGCUAACUUCGUGCCAGCCGCCGCGGUAAGAC
rnacentral:rRNA from 1 species